ACAUAACGGUCAGCACAGCAGGACUCAAGCAGAAAGCAGGAGAGUUGGAAAAAAGCAACAGCCUUCCCAGAAGCUCCUAAUGGACUUCUGCUGGGCCCCUGUUGAUGAAAUGUGACAGCACCACAGCACCUGGGGCUCAGCCAUAACCCUAGACAAGUAAAGCAAAGAGGAAUGACACAGGCAGUCAUGCCAGCCCUGCUCUUGGAAACCUCGUUCCAGCACAGAUGGUCCUGACUGACAACCCCAACCAGCCUUGGGAGCAAUAGUUGAGAUAAAUCUAAAAUUAUAGGGUCUUCCCACAAAGGUGAGAAAAGGUGAUAUUUGAAGAAGAAAAGAGAAUUUAAACUGGAAUGUUUAUACCCAAAUUAUUGGGCUCCCUUUGCCUCUCUUUUUUUCUUCCAUUAGAUUGAUUUUGUUCUCAAAAGGGAAAUUUUAAAACACUGUACCUUGCUCACGGUGGUGGAGCAAUAAUUUUUUUUCUAAAUUGAAUCAAUAAUUUCAUUUUCCAUUCAUGCAUCCUGGAAAGGCAUGGAAAGGGCCUGACUACACUUAAUGGAGAUGCUCCACAGAUGCAAAUUUUUCGCCACAAAAUACAGCUUUGCAAGGUCACUUCUGUUUGCUCGCUUUGUGGCAGCCAUUUUUAUUUCUUUAAAUAUAAAAAAUAUAUUUUGAGGUAAAAUAUUUUUAUGUCCUUCAGAGUUAUUAGUGGAAUCGU
rnacentral:lncRNA from 1 species